rfam:Xenopus laevis strain J chromosome 1L, whole genome shotgun sequence.
AUACUUACCUGGCAGGGGAGAUACCAUGAUCAUGAAGGUGGUUCUCCCAGGGUGAGGCUCAUCCAUUGCACUCCGGGUGUGCUGACCCCUGCGAUUUCCCCAAAUGCGGGAAAGUCGACUGCAUAAUUUCUGGUAGUGGGGGACUGCGUUCGCGCUUUCCCCUG